rnacentral:rRNA from 1 species
UGAGGAAUAUUGGUCAAUGGGCGCGAGCCUGAACCAGCCAAGUAGCGUGCAGGAUGACGGCCCUAUGGGUUGUAAACUGCUUUUGUAUGGGGAUAAAGUCAAUCACGUGUGAUUGUUUGCAGGUACCAUACGAAUAAGGACCGGCUAAUUCCGUGCCAGCAGCCGCGGUAAUACGGAAGGUCCGGGCGUUAUCCGGAUUUAUUGGGUUUAAAGGGAGCGUAGGCCGGAGAUUAAGUGUGUUGUGAAAUGUAGACGCUCAACGUCUGACUUGCAGCGCAUACUGGUUUCCUUGAGUACGCACAACGUUGGCGGAAUUCGUCGUGUAGCGGUGAAAUGCUUAGAUAUGACGAAGAACUCCGAUUGCGAAGGCAGCUGACGGGAGCGCAACUGACGCUUAAGCUCGAAGGUGCGGGUAUCGAACAGGAUUAGAUACCCUGGUAGUCCGCACAGUAAACGAUGGAUGCCCGCUGUUGGUACCUGGUAUCAGCGGCUAAGCGAAAGCAUUAAGCAUCCCACCUGGGGAGUACGCCGGCAACGGUG